rnacentral:tRNA from 1 species
AUCUUAUAAAUAUAUUAUGUAUAUUUGACUUCCAAUCAAAAAGAUCAAUUUUUUUGAAUAAGAUA